rnacentral:rRNA from 1 species
GGUGGCGACCGGCGCACGGGUGAGUAACGCGUAUGCAACCUACCUAUCAGGAGGGGAUAACCCGGCGAAAGUCGGACUAAUACCGCAUAAAACAGGGGCACCGCAUGGUGAUAUUUGUUAAAGAUUAAUUGCUGAUAGAUGGGCAUGCGUUCCAUUAGGUAGUUGGUGAGGUAAUGGCUCACCAAGCCGACGAUGGAUAGGGGAACUGAGAGGUUGGUCCCCCACACUGGUACUGAGACACGGACCAGACUCCUACGGGAGGCAGCAGUGAGGAAUAUUGGUCAAUGGGCGAGAGCCUGGACCAGCCAAGUCGCGUGAAGGAAGAAGGAUCUAUGGUUCGCAAACUUCUUUUGCAGGGGAAUAAAGUGGAGGACGUGUCCUCUUUUGUAUGUACCCUGAGAAUAAGGAUCGGCUAACUCCGUGCCAGCCGCCGC